rnacentral:rRNA from 1 species
ACGCUGCGGGAGGCCUACACAUGCAANUCGAACGGGAUUGAGAGCUUGCUCUCAUGAGAGUGGCGCACGGGUGAGUAACGCGUAUGCAACCUGCCUUUAACUGAGGGAUAGCCCAUAGAAAUGUGGAUUAAUACCUCAUAGUUCUUUUGAGUCGCAUGAUUUGGAAGAUAAAGCUCCGGCGGUUAAAGAUGGGCAUGCGUGACAUUAGCUAGUUGGUGAGGUAACGGCUCACCAAGGCUACGAUGUCUAGGGGUUCUGAGAGGAUGAUCCCCCACACUGGUACUGAGACACGGACCAGACUCCUACGGGAGGCAGCAGUGAGGAAUAUUGGUCAAUGGGCGCAAGCCUGAACCAGCCAUCCCGCGUGCAGGAUGACGGCCCUAUGGGUUGUAAACUGCUUUUAUACACCAAGAAAAAUCCGAACGUGUUCGGACCCGACGGUAGUGUAUGAAUAAGCAUCGGCUAACUCCGUGCCAGCAGCCGCGGUAAUACGGAGGAUGCAAGCGUUAUCCGGAUUCAUUGGGUUUAAAGGGUGCGUAGGCGGCUUUUUAAGUCAGUGGUGAAAUCUUGCCGCUUAACGGUAAAAUUGCCAUUGAUACUGAAGAGCUUGAGUACAGUUGAGGUAGGCGGAA